rnacentral:rRNA from 1 species
GGACCCGCACAAGUAGUGGAGCAUGUGGUUUAAUUCGAAGAUACGCGCAGAACCUUACCAACACUUGACAUGUUCGUCGCGACUCUAAGAGAUUAGAGUUUUCGGUUCGGCCGGACGAAACACAGGUGCUGCAUGGCUGUCGUCAGCUCGUGUCGUGAGAUGUUGGGUUAAGUCCCGCAACGAGCGCAACCCUCACUUUUAGUUGCCAUCAUUAAGUUGGGCACUCUGAAAGAACUGCCAGUGAUAAGCGGGAGGAAGGUGUGGAUGACGUCAAGUCCUCAUGGCCCUUACGGGUUGGGCUACACACGUGCUACAAUGGCAUCUACAGUGGGUUAAUCCCCCAAAAGAUGUCU